AUUGAACGCUGGCGGAAUGCUUUACACAUGCAAGUCGAGCGGCAGCGCGGGGGCAACCCUGGCGGCGAGCGGCGAACGGGUGAGUAAUGCAUCGGAACGUGCCAUUGAGUGGGGGAUAACGUAGCGAAAGUUGCGCUAAUACCGCAUAUUCUGUGAGCAGGAAAGCAGGGGGACCGCAAGGCCUUGCGCUCUUUGAGCGGCCGAUGUCAGAUUAGCUAGUUGGUGAGGUAACGGCUUACCAAGGCGACGAUCUGUAGCGGGUCUGAGAGGAUGAUCCGCCACACUGGAACUGAGACACGGUCCAGACUCCUACGGGAGGCAGCAGUGGGGAAUUUUGGACAAUAGGGCGCAAGCCUGAUCCAGCCAUGCCGCGUGAGUGAAGAAGGACCUUCGGUGUAAG
rnacentral:rRNA from 1 species